UGGCGGCAGGCCUAACACAUGCAAGUCGAGCGGUAGCACAGAGAGCUUGCUCUCGGGUGACGAGCGGCGGACGGGUGAGUAAUGUCUGGGAAACUGCCUGAUGGAGGGGGAUAACUACUGGAAACGGUAGCUAAUACCGCAUAAUGUCGCAAGACCAAAGUGGGGGACCUUCGGGCCUCAUGCCAUCAGAUGUGCCCAGAUGGGAUUAGCUAGUAGGUGGGGUAACGGCUCACCUAGGCGACGAUCCCUAGCUGGUCUGAGAGGAUGACCAGCCACACUGGAACUGAGACACGGUCCAGACUCCUACGGGAGGCAGCAGUGGGGAAUAUUGCACAAUGGGCGCAAGCCUGAUGCAGCCAUGCCGCGUGUGUGAAGAAGGCCUUCGGGUUGUAAAGCACUUUCAGCGGGGAGGAAGGCGUUAAGGUUAAUAACCUUGGCGAUUGACGUUACCCGCAGAAGAAGCACCGGCUAACUCCGUGCCAGCAGCCGCGGUAAUACGGAGGGUGCAAGCGUUAAUCGGAAUUACUGGGCGUAAAGCGCACGCAGGCGGUCUGUCAAGUCGGAUGUGAAAUCCCCGGGCUCAACCUGGGAACUGCAUUCGAAACUGGCAGGCUAGAGUCUUGUAGAGGGGGGUAGAAUUCCAGGUGUAGCGGUGAAAUGCGUAGAGAUCUGGAGGAAUACCGGUGGCGAAGGCGGCCCCCUGGACAAAGACUGACGCUCAGGUGCGAAAGCGUGGGGAGCAAACAGGAUUAGAUACCCUGGUAGUCCACGCCGUAAACGAUGUCGAUUUGGAGGUUGUGCCCUUGAGGCGUGGCUUCCGGAGCUAACGCGUUAAAUCGACCGCCUGGGGAGUACGGCCGCAAGGUUAAAACUCAAAUGAAUUGACGGGGGCCCGCACAAGCGGUGGAGCAUGUGGUUUAAUUCGAUGCAACGCGAAGAACCUUACCUGGUCUUGACAUCCACAGAACUUAGCAGAGAUGCUUUGGUGCCUUCGGGAACUGUGAGACAGGUGCUGCAUGGCUGUCGUCAGCUCGUGUUGUGAAAUGUUGGGUUAAGUCCCGCAACGAGCGCAACCCUUAUCCUUUGUUGCCAGCGGUUAGGCCGGGAACUCAAAGGAGACUGCCAGUGAUAAACUGGAGGAAGGUGGGGAUGACGUCAAGUCAUCAUGGCCCUUACGACCAGGGCUACACACGUGCUACAAUGGCAUAUACAAAGAGAAGCGACCUCGCGAGAGCAAGCGGACCUCAUAAAGUAUGUCGUAGUCCGGAUUGGAGUCUGCAACUCGACUCCAUGAAGUCGGAAUCGCUAGUAAUCGUAGAUCAGAAUGCUACGGUGAAUACGUUCCCGGGCCUUGUACACACCGCCCGUCACACCAUGGGAGUGGGUUGCAAAAGAAGUAGGUAGCUUAACCUUCGGGAGGGCGCUUACCACUUUGUGAUUCAUGACUGGGGUG
rnacentral:rRNA from 1 species